CAGCCGCCACGGUAAUACAGAGGGUGCGAGCGUUAAUCGGAUUUACUGGGCGUAAAGCGUGCGUAGGCGGCUUCUUAAGUCGGAUGUGAAAUCCCUGAGCUUAACUUAGGAAUUGCAUUCGAUACUGGGAAGCUAGAGUAUGGGAGAGGAUGGUAGAAUUCCAGGUGUAGCGGUGAGAUGCGUAGAGAUCUGGAGGAAUACCGAUGGCGAAGGCAGCCAUCUGGCCUAAUACUGACGCUGAGGUACGAAAGCAUGGGGAGCAAACAGGAUUAGAUACCCGCGUAGUCCCUGUCUCUUAUAA
rnacentral:rRNA from 1 species